rnacentral:rRNA from 1 species
CACACACCCGGAGCUAAUACCGGAUAAUAUUUUGAACCUGCAUGGUUCAAACAGUCGAAAGACGGUCUUGCUGUCACUUAUAGAUGGAUCCGCGCUGCAUUAGCUAAUUGGUAAGGGUAAAGGAUUACCAAGGCAACGAUGCAUAAGCCGACCUGAGAGGGUGAUCGGCCACACUGGGAACUGAGACACGGGUCCAGACUCCUACGGGAGCCAGCAGUAGGGAAUCUUCCGCAAUUGGUCGAAAGCCUGACGGAGCAACGCCGCGUGAGUGAUGAAGGUCUUCGGAUCGUAAACUCUGGUAUUAGGGAAGAACAUAUGUGUAAGUAACUGUGCACAUCUUGACGGUACCUAAUCAGAAAGCCACGGCUAACUACGUGCCAGCAGCCGCGGUAAUACGUAGUGUGGCAAGCGUUAUCCGGAAUUAUUGGGCGUAAAGCGCGCGUAGGCGGUUUUUUAAGUCUGAUGUGAAAGCCCACGGCUCAACCGUGUGAGGGUCAUUGGAAACUGGAAAACUUGAGUGCAGAAGAGGACAAGUGGAAUUCCAUGUUGUAGCGGUGAAAUGCGCAGAGAUUAUGGAGGAACACCAGUGGCGAAGGCGACUUACUGGUCUGUUAACUGACGCUGAUGUGCGAUAAGCGUGGGGAUCAAACUAGGAUUAGAUACCCUGGUAGUCCACGCCGUAAACCGAUGAGUGCUAAGUGUUAGGGGGUUUCCGCCCCUUAGUGCUGCAGUCUAACCGCAUUAAGCACUCCGCC